rnacentral:rRNA from 1 species
AAUAAGUCUUGGCUAACUACGUGCCAGCAGCCGCGGUAAUACGUAGGAGGCAAACGUUAUUCGGAUUUACUGGGCGUAAAGCGGGUGUAGAUGGCUUUUUAAGUCAGUUGUAAAAUCUCCUGACUCAAUCAGGAGGGGUCAAUUGAUACUGAAAAGCUGGAGGACAGCAGAAGAAAGUGGAAUUCCCGGUGUAGCGGUGACAUGCGUAGAUAUCGGGAGGAACACCAGUGGCGAAGGCGGCUUUCUAGGCUGUUCCUGACAUUGAUGCCCAAAAGCGUGGGGAGCGAAACGUAUUAGAUACACGUGUAGUCCACGCCCUAAACUUUGGAUACUAGGUAUGGUGAGUAUCGACCCUCUUCGUGCCGAAGCUAACGCU